UGGGUAACCUGCCCAAGAGAUCGGGAUAACACCUGGAAACAGAUGCUAAUACCGGAUAACAACAGAUGAUGCCUAUCAACUGUUUAAAAGAUGGUUCUGCUAUCACUCUUGGAUGGACCUGCGGUGCAUUAGCUAGUUGGUAGGGUAACGGCCUACCAAGGCGAUGAUGCAUAGCCGAGUUGAGAGACUGAUCGGCCACAUUGGGACUUAGACACGGCCCAAACUCCUACGGGAGGCAGCAGGC
rnacentral:rRNA from 1 species